rnacentral:rRNA from 1 species
GACGAACGCUGGCGGCGUGCUUAACACAUGCAAUUCGAACGGAAAGGCCCUGCUUUUGUGGGGUGCUCGAGUGGCGAACGGGUUAGUAACACGUGAUUAACCUGCCCUUGACUUUGGGAUAACUUCAGGAAACUGGGGCUAAUACCGGAUAGGAGCUCCUGCUGCUUGGUGGGGGUUGGAACGUUUCGGCGGUUGGGGAUGGACUCGCGGCUUAUCAGCUUGUUGGUGGGGUAGUGGCUUACCAAGGCUUUGACGGGUAGCCGGCCUGAGAGGGUGACCGGCCACAUUGGGACUGAGAUACGGCCCAGACUCCUACGGGAGGCAGCAGUGGGGAAUAUUGCACAAUGGGCGGAAGCCUGAUGCAGCAACGCCGCGUGCGGGAUGACGGCCUUCGGGUUGUAAACCGCUUUCGCCUGUGACGAAGCGUGAGUGACGGUAAUGGGUAAAGAAGCACCGGCUAACUACGUG